GAUAUUUUUGAGAGAGAUAGAGAGAGAAAGUGGGAGAAAGAGGAAGAAAGGGUUAGAGAGAAGAGGAACUUGAUGAUUCAAAGAUUGGAAGAGAUCUAGGAGCUAAAUUGAAGCUUGAGCUGGGGAAUUAAUCUAACUAAGGUUGAAACGGAAGCAUACAGAUCAAUCAACUUUGAUGUUUAUCGAAGAACAAUGUAAUGCGAAUCAUAUUUGCUUUAGCUUU